rnacentral:rRNA from 1 species
GUGCCAGCAGCCGCGGUAAUACGUAGGGGGCGAGCGUUGUCCGGAUUUACUGGGCGUAAAGAGCGCGUAGGUGGUUGGGUAGGUUGGGGGUGAAAGGUGCGGGCUUAACCCGCAUAGGUCUCCCAAGACCGCUCGACUGUGAGGGCAGUAGAGGACGGUGGAAUUCCGGGUGUAGUGGUGAAAUGCGUAGAGAUCCGGAGGAACACCGGUGGCGAAGGCGGCCGUCUGGGCUGUCCCUGACACUGAGGCGCGAAAGCGUGGGGAGCGAACUGAAUUAGAUACUCAGGUAGUCCACGCCCUCAACGAUGGACACUAGGUGUGGGGGGUAUCGACCCCUCCCGUGCCGGAGCUAACGCAGUAAGUGUCCCGCCUGGGGAGUACGGCCGCAAGGCUAAAACUCAAAGGAAUUGACGG